rnacentral:rRNA from 1 species
UACGUAGGGGCCUAGCGUUGUCCGGAUUUAUUGGGCGUAAAGAGCUCGUAGGCGGUUUGUCGCGUCGGGGAGUGAAAUCCACUGGCUUAACUGGUGGCUUGCUUUCGAUACGGGCAGACUGGAGUACUGCAGGGGGAGACUGGAAUUCCCGGUGUAGCGGUGAAAUGCGCAGAUAUCGGGAGGAACACCAGUAGCGAAGGCAGCUCGCUGGGACGGUACUGACGCUGAGACGCGAAAGCGUGGGGAGCAAACAGG